CCUCCCUUUGUUCCAACCUAAUAUUCUCCCUUCUCACUCCUUAGCUGAGUCAAUUAGCCCCCUUCUCUCUCCUCCGCCUCCCUUCUCUCAUUCUCUGGUUUGUCUCCUUCUCCCUUGAUGAUAUCGGCCAUUUUCGGUUAAACUCCACCAUCACCACCUCUGCUGCUUCACCCAUUCAUUCUCCUCUCUAUUUCAUUUUCUCUCUCCUCCUUUACGUCACACUCUCUUUCUGGUCAUGUUAGAGAUGGAGUCGAGUUCGAUUAAAGGAAAAGAGCUUCUGACAAGCGAGAACAGAACUGAAGCUUCCGUUGGAAAGAAGAUAAAGAAUGAUGUAUCGAGAUUGAGAAGAUUCACAAGGUGUGAAAGAUGGAAUCUGAACGUGUUUACCUCGAUGAGUUGAAUGCUAACAACAACGGCUACAAAGUGAAGGUUAAAGUUAUAGAAAAAGGGCGAGCUAAAGUGUCUCCGGAUAAGGGAGUGUUGUAUCAGUCAUUACUUCUCGAAGAUGAUAAGGGUAACAAAAUGUGAGGCGAACUGUUUGGAAAUCAGGUUGAUGGGUACAAGUUGCAUAUAAGGGAGAGUAUGAGAUAUCUAAUGCACCAAUUACGGCCAUAGAUGAAAGGCAGAAAAUGAGCCUAGAAGAGCUCGACUAUCAAAUUAAAUAAGCUUCGGCAACAGACUGAUCCAACCCGUGGAUGCUGAAGGAGGGCCUGUGAUGCCAGACUACCACCAGUGCCUAGCCUCAAUUCCAAGAGAUGUAUAAGUAGAAGGCCUCCUUUCCCUUUGGAAGUUGUGAUGGUCUAAAAAAGAUGUGAUCAAGGCACUUGCCAUGUUUGUCAAUCUCGAUUACGUCUGGAUUGGCUAAAGAUGUAAAAACUUGUUUUUAACCAACUGAUCAAGGUUGCAAAUAAGCUUUGAGAGUAUAUUGUUGCUUCUAACUGCAUUUAUUUUGUAGCUCAUUAGUGAGGUUGACAUAUAAUACAAAUUAGAGUUGGUCUAUGGA